UACGUAAGGUCCGAGCGUUGUCCGGAAUCAUUGGGUGUAAAGGGUACGUAGGCGGAUAAGCAAGUUAGCAGUGAAAUCCUAUAGCUCAACUAUAGUAAGCUUUUAAAACUGCUUAUCUUGAGUUAUGGAAGGGAAAGUGGAAUUUUUAGUGUAGCGGUGAAAUGCUCAGAUAUUACAAAGAAUACCGAUUGCGAAGGCAACUUUCUGG
rnacentral:rRNA from 1 species